GAUGAACGCUGGCGGCGUGCCUAAUACAUGCAAGUCGAGCGAACAGACGAGGAGCUUGCUCCUCUGACGUUAGCGGCGGACGGGUGAGUAACACGUGGAUAACCUACCUAUAAGACUGGAAUAACUUCGGGAAACCGGAGCUAAUACCGGAUAAUAUAUUGAACCGCAUGGUUCAAUAGUGAAAGACGGUUUUGCUGUCACUUAUAGAUGGAUCCGCGCCGCAUUAGCUAGUUGGUAAGGUAACGGCUUACCAAGGCGACGAUGCGUAGCCGACCUGAGAGGGUGAUCGGCCACACUGGAACUGAGACACGGUCCAGACUCCUACGGGAGGCAGCAGUAGGGAAUCUUCCGCAAUGGGCGAAAGCCUGACGGAGCAACGCCGCGUGAGUGAUGAAGGUCUUCGGAUCGUAAAACUCUGUUAUUAGGGAAGAACAAAUGUGUAAGUAACUAUGCACGUCUUGACGGUACCUAAUCAGAAAGCCACGGCUAACUACAUG
rnacentral:rRNA from 1 species